rnacentral:lncRNA from 1 species
UACUAGGAUGGAACCCAGGCCUUCACACAGAGCUGCAUCCCUCGUCCCUACCCCUAUCCCCCAGUCUUUUUAAACUUUGAGAGAGUAUCUCACUGAAUCAGUUGCCCAGGCUGGGCUUCACCUUGCAAUCCUCCUGUCUCAGCCUGCCAGAGUGCUGGUCCACAGUUUGAAGAAUCAGCCCACAGCCUUUCCUGACCCCAGGAGUGUGUCAUUUCUGUACUACUCUACCCUUCGGGAUUGAACUCAGGACCUCGUGCUUGUGAGGCAGGCAUGGUGCCACUGAGAUGCUGGCAAUUCUUAGCUCGUUCUAUGCGAGAGUCUGGAAUCUCUGCUGGACCCAACACAUGGUAUCAUUUGGCGAGCUAGUCAGGAGACAUCAGCAGCCAGAAGCAGCCCAGCCAGAAAGGAAGACCUACCACAUGAAACACUUCAUCUAUUCCUUCUGAAUCCCCAUGCCAAUGCCUCCUCACUCACUGAGAAAAGAGAUCUGCUACCCUUUGGCAGCCCAAUAUAAUGCCAUGCUUCACUCAGGUCUUUAUUGUAAUAAAC